AGUGAACGCUGGCGGUAGGCCUAACACAUGCAAGUCGAACGGCGGCACAGUAAGAGCUUGCUCUUACGGGUGGCGAGUGGCGGACGGGUGAGGAAUACAUCGGAAUCUACUUUUUCGUGGGGGAUAACGUAGGGAAACUUACGCUAAUACCGCAUACGACCUACGGGUGAAAGCAGGGGAUCUUCGGACCUUGCGCGAUUGAAUGAGCCGAUGUCGGAUUAGCUAGUUGGCGGGGUAAAGGCCCACCAAGGCGACGAUCCGUAGCUGGUCUGAGAGGAUGAUCAGCCACACUGGAACUGAGACACGGUCCAGACUCCUACGGGAGGCAGCAGUGGGGAAUAUUGGACAAUGGGCGCAAGCCUGAUCCAGCCAUACCGCGUGGGUGAAGAAGGCCUUCGGGUUGUAAAGCCCUUUUGUUGGGAAGGAAAAGCAGCGGGUUAAUACCCCGCUGUUCUGACGGUACCCAAAGAAUAAGCACCGGCUAACUUCGUG
rnacentral:rRNA from 1 species